rnacentral:rRNA from 1 species
AUUGAACGCUGGCGGCAUGCCUUACACAUGCAAGUCGAACGGUAACGCGGGGCAACCUGGCGACGAGUGGCGAACGGGUGAGUAAAGUAUCGGAACGUGCCCAAUAGUGGGGGAGUAGCCCGGCGAAAGCCGGAUUAAUACCGCAUGAGACCUGAGGGUGAAAGCGGGGGACGUCGCAAGAGCCUCGCGCUGUUGGAGCGGCCGAUAUCAGAUUAGGUAGUUGGUGGGGUAAAGGCCUACCAAGCCGACGAUCUGUAGCUGGUCUGAGAGGACGACCAGCCACACUGGGACUGAGACACCGGCCCAGACUCCGUAC